GCCCGUAUAGCUCAGUGGUAGAGCGCAUCACUCGUAAUGAUGAGGUCCUCGGUUCGAAUCCGAGUGUGGGCA
rnacentral:tRNA from 10 species